UUUCUUGCGCGGCCCGGUACCAAUCGGUCCGCGGACCGGUCCGCGGACCGGUACCGGGCUGCAGCCCGGUGGUUGGGGACCACUGCUCUAAGGUACAGUCCCACGUGCUCCUCUAUUUAUUCGGGAGGUCCCGAGUUAACAUCACUGAGGCUGCUUCUGAAGGGAGGGGUAAUGCAAGCAGCCCCAGUAGACACGAUACAUGAUUGUUCAGAAUGGAAAUGUGCUGACACUUGUGAUUUCGCCCUGUCUCUGUUUUGUCUGCGUUGAGGUACUCGAUGUCCGUCCUUGGCUGUCAGCAGGCAAGGUCUGGAAACAAACUGCUGAUACGAGACAACUCGCAAAGCAAGAUUACAAGUUGUGCCUUUGCACAGGUAGAAAAGUACAACUUCAGCACAAUUGAUAAUAACUAUAGCAACGGCCUUUAAGCAUAAGAGUUGUGUGAUAACUUAUACAUAAUUAUUCCAACAGUAUGGCGCGAGAGGCUGUUGAAGUAAAAAGUGUUUCUCGCCUUCCUGUCGGUCAUUUUUUCUUAAUAAUGAUCUGGCUUCAGCCAGCGUCAUCUCACCAGACCCUCGGGUGCCGUGAAUGUCAAUCAAGUGACGAAAGUGACGUCUUGGUGAAGAUUGAUGAUCGAUCAUGUUUAGGUGUAUUUUUUUUAAUGCCUGGCUAGCGAUGGACUGACACAACCCUCCACCAUCAACCGCUAGCUUGCCAUUCCCGUAAUGGGCGCCCCUGACUUAGAGGCUUCUUCCGGACUAAACUCCUCCAAACGUGCCUGACUGGAGUUUGCUUGUCCCUGGGGAAAACCUAAGUUUGUCCAAAACGUCGUUAGAAGUGGCGCGUCCAAACUACGGAUGACAAGGAUUGGCCCAAAGUGUGUUUUUGCCUACAUUUAGUACCGUGUGAAUUCAAUUAAAAUGAUUAUGCCGCCCUUUUGUGGGUGAAGAUGGAUUUGAUGGUCAGUGAAUAUUAAUUCCAUUUGCAAAAUGCUUGAGCACAGUAUCAGUAUAUAUGACCCAAUCCAAACAACUUUCCCCACUCAUGGUAUAAAUUAAGUAUAACCAACAAAUAAGGUCAACCCACGGUCGCACAUGACACACCAGCUCAUUGAACUUUGUGGACAUGAUAAAACAUGUAUAUAUAAUUUAAAGUUACACACAUUGAUGCAAAACACUUUCUCCGUACUUCUCCAUGUUUGGUGCAUUUCAGCUGCUUGAUAUUUCUCAAUGAUUACUGUCAUGAUCAGUUUCCCGGAUCAUGUUUUGUUUAGUUAAAGACUCCCUUAGUUCUGUUUUACCACCCCCGGGUUUGUUUUUCUCUUGGUCGCCAUGGGUGCUGAUUAUAUCCACCUGCCUCUGAUUUAGUGUUCAUGACGCUCACCUGCUCCCGGGCACUAAUCGGAGAACAUUUUAUUCCUGCUUUUUUGUCUUGUUUGCUCCAUGCAACAAGUUACGUGUGUUUACUGUUUGAUUCCUGAGCUAAGCUUCGCCAUUUGUUUGCUUGUUUCCCAUGCUAAGCUUUUCCAUAGCUACCCGUGCUAUCGGCACGCUCUCCUGUAUUUGUGGAUUUUGCCUGAUUUAUGAAAAAUAAAUCAUUGUCUUACCUGCACGCUGCUUCCGGAGUUCCGUCUGCAUCUUGGGGAAACAAUCCGCGCAGUCACAUGCGACCCCGCCGUAACAGAAUACAAAACUUUAAGGAGGUCGUGGGGGAAAGAAACAAGGGUGGACUGCAAAAGCUGCUUGAAGAAUCUUCGGUGCGGCUUCAGAGACAAAAGUCUCUUUCCUGCGCAGGUGUCAUCUCGCUAACAGGAUGUGGCAAAGGAGGAGGCGGGUGUUCGUACCUUGGACCAAAGCGGAGCAUUGGAAGGUUCUGGUGCCCAGUUGGAGCUUCACAUCUUUGACGGAGCUGCUUGGGUCCAGGCUGAGGAGCAGUACCGCCUGAGGGAUUGAAGGUCACGGUGUCACGGCGCGGGCUCAAACUCGGCU